rnacentral:rRNA from 1 species
AUUGAACGCUGGCGGCAUGCUUUACACAUGCAAGUCGAACGGCAGCACAGGGAGCUUGCUCCUGGGUGGCGAGUGGCGAACGGGUGAGUAAUGUAUCGGAACGUGCCUGGUAGUGGGGGAUAACUACUCGAAAGAGAGGCUAAUACCGCAUGAGAUCUUUGGAUGAAAGCGGGGGACCUUCGGGCCUCGUGCUACUGGAGCGGCCGAUAUCAGAUUAGGUUGUUGGUGGGGUAAAGGCCUACCAAGCCUGCGAUCUGUAGCUGGUCUGAGAGGACGACCAGCCACACUGGGACUGAGACACGGCCCAGACUCCUACGGGAGGCAGCAGUGGGGAAUUUUGGACAAUGGGCGCAAGCCUGAUCCAGCAAUGCCGCGUGCAGGACGAAGGCCUUCGGGUUGUAAACUGCUUUUGUACAGAACGAAAAGUCUCUGGCUAAUAUCUAGAGAUCAUGACGGUACUGUAAGAAUAAGCACCGGCUAACUACGUG